UCGAGAGGAUUUAGUACUGCUAAAACAGACUGAUGCAGAAGGUGGCAGCAAUGCAACAAUAAGGAUGCCGGCUGCCAUUAAACGCCACAGAAGAAGAGAGGGUAUGUUUAGUUUAUAUCACAGGAGCGUGUUUUGAGGUCAGAGCGCAUUUCUGCAUUUACAAAAUGCACCAAGAAACCAGAAAAAAUGCAUAAAAUUACUUAAUUUACUCAUAUUUGUUAUCGGGGUAAAUUAUCAGACA